UAGCUCAGUUGGAUAGAGCAUUGGCCUUCUAAGCCAAGGGUCGGGGGUUCGAAUCCCUC
rnacentral:tRNA from 1 species